rnacentral:lncRNA from 1 species
GCUCGGUGGAUCCGGCGGCUCCGGCGGUGGUUUUUGCACGCGCGCGAGAGAAUCGAGGCAGGGAGAAAUUGAAAUGAGAGCGGGGGAGAGACGACACGGCUCGGGCGCAUCCAAAGAGGGCAAGGCGCGGGGAGAACGUGGGGAAACGGGGAGUGGGAUGCGCAGUUGCCCAAGAAGAGGGAGAGGGGCGGUUGCUGGAGG